CGUAGGGUGCGAGCGUUAAUCGGAAUUACUGGGCGUAAAGCGUGCGCAGGCGGACUGUUAAGCAAGACGUGAAAUCCCCGGGCUUAACCUGGGAAUGGCGUUUUGAACUGGCAGUCUAGAGUGUGUCAGAGGGGGGUAGAAUUCCACGUGUAGCAGUGAAAUGCGUAGAGAUGUGGAGGAAUACCAAUGGCGAAGGCAGCCCCCUGGGAUAACACUGACGCUCAUGUACGAAAAGCGUGGGUAGCAAACAGGAUU
rnacentral:rRNA from 1 species